rnacentral:lncRNA from 1 species
UUUUUUUUUGAAGUUAUAAUUAGCUUGUCAUCUGAUCCCAUCUCGCCACAAACUCUUAACUUUUUUUUAGUUCCAAGUGCUGAGUAGUUUAUUUCCCAUAGAUGAAUGAUGGAUGAUGCAGCGGACGAGGCAUAUCGAUGGUAGUUUGCAGCAAUUCAGGAGGAACUACGGCGAACUGAUAGUUGAGCUAUUCAGCCAGCACCGUUUGAGUUCAUUGCAUGUCGCUCGAUCAUGCACUUAAGUUGUUGGUUAUAUUCCCAUUUGAAUACACCACAUAAUGCACAGUAAAUGGUUUUGGGAUCAAAAUAUUUUUUACUCAUGUAAUUCAUCUCCAAUCCCCUGUCCAACGUUGCAUAUUUGCCUGUACAAAUCAUUAGUUCUUCCAUCAAUUUUAUUACAUGAACACAAAAUUGGACCUGAUUCUCAUGGAGGAUAGUAAUGGACUGAUGAUACAACUGACAUUUCAUAACAGCUACUCCAUGCAUGGUAUGUUCCCGUUUUGCCAUAUUUUACUUACUCAUUUAGAGCAUCUCUAGCAAACCCUGCAAAAUCCCAACCCGCAUAAGUCUUUUGCAGUUUAUGAAAAAGUAUACAUGCAGGCCGACGCGAGCGAGGUCAGACUCAGACCCCGCAAAACGGACCCGUAAAACGAAUAUUCGGUGAAUAUGCUCUUUUACGGAUCGGCUACGCAGGGUAUGCUCGGGCACCGCCGCGUCGACCCGUAAACCGAAGACGCCCAAUUAUCGAAUUUGACAUCAGUUCCGACAAAUAAGUUCAAAUUCAAACAAUAGAACACAGUUCAAGCAUAAAUAAAAGCUUAAGUUUUGUAGGACAAACGCAAAAGAGGGUCUUGCAAAAGUGAUGACCACGUCCGGCAUCAUAUUGAUCGAUCUUCACUCCGCACCAUCGAGUCCAUGGAGUUCAUCGGAACCACCGAAUCCACCUCUGGCGCUUGUUCCAACUCCUGCGUCGAAAUCAUCGGCUGGUGCAUUGAACGCAUCGGCGACAUUGGUUCCAAACCUCGCCGAGAAAACAUCUCCGGCACUAUAACACGCACUGACCGACGCAACCAUUCUCCUCUUCAAGAUUUCUCUUCUUGCCAUAUCAUGUCAUUCUUUGGUGAGAUCGUCCAUGUCAUUGCGGUUCAUUGUCAUCAUCUUGUUCUCUUCGGCGAGCAACUUGGACAUGGCUUUGUUUUCAGCGGCAUGUGCUCUUCUCUCUUCAAUGGCCGCUUUACGCAGCCCCUCUUCCUUGAGCAAUUGCCAUUUUUCUUGCUUCUCCUUGCCUUCUUCUCGGCCAACUCUUUCUUGAUCUCCAACGUCUUCGCUAACAUCAACUCAUUUGAUUACACCAUGACAUCAAUCUUCUCCCUCAAGCUCGACGCUUCGUGCUCUCUCUUCAUCUUCUCCUUAGUCUUCUUGUUGCCAUCGGGCUUGUUAAAGUUUCUUGGGCCAUCAUCAUCCUCAUCUUCAUCUAUGUUUGUAAGUGAAACUCUCUUCGGUGGGGAUUCUUUGCCAAUCAACUUCCACUUCUCACACUCUUUGAGCAAGUCCCAACAAUGCUCUAAUUCGAAGAAUUUGCCUUCCGAAGCUUCCAUGCAUGUCUUUGUAUCUAUGUUGGGCAAUUUUGUUCUACAUAAUUUGAGCAAAGUCAAAUGAUGCAAUCAUUUCAUGUGAUGCAAUAUGAUGUGCACAACUUGAACAAAGUCAAAACGAACUCACAUAGUCGGAUUCCACGGUUUCACUUGGAGGUGCAUUGCGUACUUGCUCCAAGCAAGCUUCCCAACAGUUGCAAAUAGGCUUGAUCGCAUCCCAACGCCCUUGAAGCGACCGAAAGGUGCGUGAAGUCCUAUUGGGAUACUUUGCCAUCAUGCGGAAGUAUUGAUCUUCGAUCCUUUGCCAAUACCUCUUGGCGGUUUGAGAAGUACAUGUGCAUGCAUCAAGCAGGGACACCACACUCCAUGCCUUGAUCAAGAUUUGAUCUUCCAAGAUCGUGUAGUUCUUCGAUCUCUAGCUUUUUCCACUUUUUGUUUGCGAUUUCUCAUACGCCCCCUCAUCGAUCUCCUCCACUUCUUCUUCACCACCAUGAUCAUCCACGCCGCCCUCCGUUUUAUUGUAAUCGAAUGUGGCAAACGGGGCUUAAUCGAUGUCAACAGCGUUGGUGUCCAACAAGUUCACGAACUCGGCAGUUCCAUUGUUCAAACCACCGCUAUAAUGAACGACAACAAGUCACGAGCUAUCGCAAAUGGCGAAAAGCAAAGAAAAUUGCCAUGACCGAAGACGCCUACCUUCCGGCCAUUUCGUCAAACACCCCGCUUGCGGUGGGAGCAGUACCGUUGAGCGGCAUCGUCGGGGAACCUCUUUCCGGGGCGGAGGGAGUGGAUGAAGGAGCCGGCUUCUUUGUAGCCGGAGUCCUCUUCCGCUUUACGCCGGAGACCUUGCCGACCUUCUCUGCCGCCAGCCGGGAUCGCGCAGCGGCGUUGGCGCCCGGAGCGCGGGCCUUCGCGGCGGUGGCAGCCGGAUUCCCGCACGACCACGUUGCCCUGCCGCUUGCGGGCACUGUUCAAGAUAUCUUCCGAUAUGCCGAUAAAUCGGCCGAUUUAUCGCUUACCGUUGUCAAACCGAUAAGAUAAAUCGGCCGAUAAAUCAGCCGAUAUGGCGAUAAAUCGGCCGAUAUGCCGAUAAACUGGCCGAUUUACCCCUUAUCAUGGGUCGACCGAUAAGUUCCCGAUAAGCGAUAUCCCCAACAUUGCUUGCGGGUAGGCGCAAUGGUGCCUUGGGCGACGGCGGGGCCAACAUGGCCGGCGACGAGAUCUGCCCGAGGGGAUUGAGCGUGCGUGACCACGAUGGUGUCAGGGGACAGCAGGGAAUCAUCCAUGGUGGUGAAGGACUGCCUAGGAAGAUGCACCGGAGCGGGAGGUGGCGAGGCAAUGGUGGUGGGGGGAGCGGGAAUGGCCGCGCGGAAAUGUCCCUGCCGCCAAAUCUUGCUGCGGAUAGGGACCGAGCUCGGGUCAUCCUCCCGCCCCGUGAAUCUAGAGAUCGAGGAAGAUCUUUUGCCGCGCACCGCAAAAAAUUUUACGUGUCGGACGCAUAUGCGGUGUCUGGUCGGGCAGGUUUUUCCGUACCGACCCGUAUUUUGACGGUUAUUUUCGGAUCGGAGCGGGAUACGAGGUCUGCUAGAGAUGCUCUUAUAUAUCCUUUGAGACCCGAGCCCUCAGAGAAACUAGAUUCCAAUCUUCUGGUCUUGCAUGCAGAUGUUUUGUUGGUCAAAGCGCUUCAGUUCCAGUUCGUACAGAUUACUCAUAUUAUGAGUUCCAGGAUUUUUUUUUUACUUUUAGUAUAUGUUGACUUAUGUUCUCUUGCGGUGUGCACACUAAUUAACUGAAAAACCUUAUGGCGUACUAUUUUUUUUACAUGUGUGAUGUAUGUAAAGUUAGUUUCUGUUAUAAAAAAUUGUCCAUCAGCUAACUGAAUCAGAGGAGAAUUUAUGAAAAGUGAACCAGCAGACGAACCGUAGUAAUUCCAAGCUAAUUAUAUAACUUCAUCCCACUGAACUUCGAUGUAAACUGGUCUUUUAAUUCUCAUAUCUUGGAAUUUAAAAAAAUAGAAAAAGAGAAAGACUCCCGGCCUCUGCAUCUGGAUGAUGCAUGCAGCCACUUUAUUAAUUACUCACAAAAAUCCUUACAAAGAAAUACAACAUUAAGUUUGAAGUCAUCGUCUAGGCAACAUCUGUCGCUACUCAUAUCAGUUGAUAAAGGGAUGCUAAUAGUCCGGGCUUAAUAUCGCAGACCUCGCAGUUAAGCCUAACAUCCAAGACCUGAGGCCCCAACCUAGCCACUUGUCGGGUCUGGGGCACACACCGGUCUGGCGCGCUCUCAGAGGCCCCCGCCAACUGAACCGCUCCAUCUUCGGAACUGUACUGAUGCAUCAGCCUUGCUCGGUCUAGCUGUCGUCGAUGCCACAAUGGCGCCCAACGGCACCACCUCCCUACGCGUGAACAUCUGAGCACAUCGAGGUCGCCACCAAUACACCUUAGCAUCAUUCCGCCAAGUACCACCAGCCGAUACAGUUUGAAGUCUUUGGAAGAUCUGUCGUGCUUAGCACCUGUCGACCAGGCAUGACAAAGCGUAGCACCUGUCGGUCAGGCAUGACUUGGCAUCUCCAUCGAAACUCCGUGUAAGACGAAGCCGCUCCACCUCCUGCCUCUGACUUCUAGCGCUGCUCCACAAACUAUGCUCCCAGGAGAGAAACGACACUGCAGUGCCACCAUCGUCCGAUCUGAAACACCAGAUCCUAGGGUUCCCCCGGAGCAGCACGAGUGGGGCGACAAUAGUUACACGACAAUGCCUUCAUCAAGGUAACGGCAUAGAACGCCGCCAUCGCCUGCUGUCAGCUCGGUUUUCACCGGCAACCAUGUCUCCACAACUCGCAGCUCGGACUAGAUGAUGGAUCUCGAGAUCCGACCACCCAGCUUGUUGCCGGCCACCUCCGACGAAGAAGAUGACCACCACCACUAGCUACACCGGCCAGAACAGAUCUGCCCGAGGUGCCGCCGAGCAGUCCACCAGGCCCUCGACGUCGUCGCCGAUCUAAAGCCCGAUGACGCGCCGCCGCCCGAUCCAGGCUAGCUGCCGCAGGCAGGCGCCCGUGGCCCGAGGCAGGGCCGACCACCACCGCCGUCAUCAAAGCCAUCGCCGCCGCUUCUAGAUCGGCCACAUCUCCACGCGCGUUGAGGACCCCAACACCCCUGAGACGCGGGAGAGAGGAGGGACCCCCGCCAUCGACGUCGGCCUCCGGCCGCGGGCCGGCGGCGUCCUCCGGCGGCGGCGGGAGGAAGGGAGGAAGAUGAGUUAGGCCCCGGUGGUGGCUAGGGUUGGGGUGCCACCCGAGUCGCCCGAGGGGGGGGGGGCGACACGGGGGCGUGGGGGGCAAACCUCAAUUUCUUUUGCGUCGUACUUUUGUAUGAUGGCCAUAGCUACAUAUCAACGAUGGUAUACAUCAAUGUGUUACCGUUAGAAGGUAAAAUGUCAAAAGGUGUCUGUGCUAAUUAUAACUAUCUUCACAAUAGUAUAUGCAGUUUGUGGUUCGUUAUUUUAUCUCUUCUGCAGGCUGCAGCCCAGCUGCAACUCCUAAAGGUUGGUGCAGACACUCAAAAGCUCUUCCUAGAGCAGUAGAGAUGUCUGUCUCUGCAGCACAUCACUCGGUGGAUCUAGAUGUGUAGAUUUACAACCUUCAACUAUUCAUGGGCACACUACUUUUACUAUGAGUUCCUCUCAUAUAUUGAACACUAUUUCCCAUCAAUAGGCAUUCAGGCUCUCUUUCAUAAGUUUCUUUGUAGAUCCUACUUGGCUGCCUAAUAGCCUUCUGAUACCAUCAUUCUACUUUCUACACUAGUGCCAAAAAGGUAAAUGACUGCUAUAUAAUUACAUUUCCAUUUGGCACCCAAGAUACUCAUGAUUCUACUAUCAUUUGUCAGGAAUGUGUAGUUUGGACAUUGACACAUUCUUCAAGGUAAAACUUUGACCAUCAUUUCAAAUAAAAAAUCAAGAUAUGGUGCUUCGAAGAAUAUUAGUACUCCCUCCGUAAAGAAUAGUGAUCUAAACGCUGAGGGAGUACAAAAUAACUUUUGUAUGGAUCUAGAAAUGAUUGUGACCCAUGCAGACUUCCAGUUCCACCAGUAAAAAAGGAACAAGAAGAAGAACAUCAACAGCCAACAGAUCAAGGAAGCCAAAACAAAGGCCAACUUAACCCAAGGCUUGACAGGCACCCACCCGUUGCCGAGGCACAACUGCUAAUUCUUGCGAGUAUGCUGCCGGUGCAUUGCAAUAUUAGUCACAGGUAAUAAGAAAAUAAAGUUUCUAAACAUAAACAUUUCUAUCUUUCUGCUCACUUACAAACUUACAGUUGCACCAGUAAAGCAACAUGAACACCAACAGACCAAGGAAACCAAACACAAGGGCCGGCCAACUCAACAAAAGGCUUUUGACACCUGAUAGACAAAAAUGCACUUAAUGCAGGGCUCUCCAAGGAUCUGCUGCUGCCUGUUUGUUAGCCUAGCCCAUGGCGUGCUCCAGCAUCUACUGCCGUUUCUCGCGUUAGCAUUGUCGGCGACGAGAGGGGAUAUAUACAGACGGAGAAACAACACUUGAUCUGAUCUCUCUAGCUUCACUUUCACACAGCCGGCUACGUACUAUCAC